AUGGAUCUCCUAUUUUGGAACUGCCGGGGCAGAGGAACAGUUCGUGAGGUGUUGGCCCUCUCAAAAACCAAUUGCCCCAAACUCGUCUUCCUCUGUAAGACACAUCAAGCUAGAGAGAAGAUGGAGAAACUUCGAUGGAGGUUGGGUUUAAAAGGUUUUAGUUCUGUGAAUAGUGAUGGCACAGGUGAUGGAUUAGCAAUGUUCUGCAGAAGUGGUGGAUUAGCACUGCCCCAUCAUGAGAUCUUAAUCUUCUUCUUUUUUUUGCUAAUGAUGAGAUCUCAAUUAUGCGUGAAAACUUAUUUCUAG
rnacentral:rRNA from 1 species